CCUACGGGAGGCAGCAGUGGGGGAUAUUGCACAAUGGGGGAAACCCUGAUGCAGCGACGCCGCGUGUGGGAAGACGGUCCUCUGGAUUGUAAACCACUGUUCCCAGGGACGAAGAUGACGGUACCUGCGCAGGAAGCUCCGGCUAACUACGUGCCAGCAGCCGCGGUAAUACGCAGGGAGCGAGCGUUGUCCGGAAUUACUGGGUGUAAAGGGAGCGUAGGCGGGACUGCAAGUUGGGUGUCAAAUCUACCGGCUCAACCGGUAGCCGCACUCAAAACUGCAGUUCUUGAGUGAAGUAGAGGCAGGCGGAAUGCCUAGUGUAGCGGUGAAAUGCGUAGAUAUUAGGAAGAACACCAGUGGCGAAGGCGGCCUGCUGGGCUUUUACUGACGCUGAGGCUCGAAAGUGUGGGGAGCGAACAGGAUUAGAUACCCUAGUAGUC
rnacentral:rRNA from 1 species